UUCUUUCCUCUCUCUCUCUCUCUCUCUCUCUCUCUCUCUCCCUGCUGGCCCCGUCCUCUCCUCGCCGCCGCCGCCGCCAACUCCGGUGUACCUGCGCCGGCCUUCUCCCCUCCUCCGUUGCUGUCCGCUCUCUCGUUACAACCAGUGUACCUACGCCACCAUUACGACCAAGCUCAUCGAGUACAAGGGCCUAGGUACCCCUAGGUCGCUCGGGCCGCCACCGAUUGACGAUUUAUCUGAGUGCCGGCGACUUCCAGCGCCUCCCCUGUACUCACCCCUCUCCAUCCUUCUUCCCUGCCUCUGGUAGCUCACUGCUGCUAAAUCUGACUGUUACUUUUUUCAGAUCUUUUUGCACCGAGCUCACUACCCACAUAAUCCAAUCCCCACAUUCUUCCUCAACUUCUUCUUGUAGGAGAUAAAUUACAUUCGAAUAUCUAUUUUGCAACUGCAGAUCUGUUUUCUUUCAUCAGAGCUAACAAGCUUUUUCCGUUUUUAUAGUUUGAUUUGAGGGGGAAAACCCCCCCAAGGUCAGUUUAUUCCAACUCUCACUUUGCCCAAUUCUUUUUUUUUCAGUUUGAAUCCAUGUACUCCAUUUCCUUAUAUUCUCAACUUUUGUAGUUCUGAAAUGCAGAGCUUUAUGGCAAAAUCUUCAGAGUUUGAUUGUAGUUGCAUGAGUAAUCUCACCUUAUGUGAGUUUCAUGAGUAAUGUCACCUUCUAUCAUUUUUCCUUUGUUCAUGUCCUAUGUUUCAGCUAACAUAUUUUAUCUCCCUGUUUCCCCUAUUUAUGCAUAUGAAAUCAUAAUACACUGCAUCAUGUUUGAUUGUAGUUGAAAUGCAAAUUUCACAUAUAUGUCAUUUUAGCCAGUAUACAAGAAAGAAAUAUUAAACUUUCAGUUUCUAUUCAUACUAUUUUUUUUCACAAAGGAUAAAUGGAUAUUUUUAUGAAGAAUAAUCUGACAGCAGGGCCCAUAGGUAAAUAAGGAGAGAAUAAGUUAUAUAGUUGUAAUGUGAAUAUGUGAUUGAACACAUGUUUUUCAUUUUCUCAUUUACUUAUGUCUUUUUCCUUCCAUCUGUUGGAGCAUAUCCAUAUGCUAAAGCUUUAAAUGGUAAUGAAUAGCAGAUAAAUGCAAUGUCAAUUGGUGAGGACUUGAGGUCCUCCUUUGUAUUUCAAAUUGCACGCCAUAUUGCACUAUGUAUCGGCCACUUGCCCCCCCUACAGAUGGUGUACUACUGUGUGCCAAUUCUCAGUUAACCGCAACAUAUCUCUAUUGUAUUUUAUCUUAGAUUUAACACAUUUUGAAAACACUAAUUUUUCUAUUCAAUUACCUCUGCUUUAUUAGCUGCAGUGUCCAAGGUUUGGGGGUAUACAAAUUUGGUGGCUGGGCCCCCUCCAAAAUCCAGUUCUGAAUGUUUUGAAAUUACACACAUAUGUUUCGUUAUGCUGCUUGCACUAUGUGUCAGUCACUUGGCCCCACCAAAAUGCUAUUCUAUAUGUUUUAAAAUUACCAGACAUUGUACUUUCAACAAGUUUGUAUGCUACCAUCCUUGUGGGAGUGCAAGAAUCUAAUCACAUAUAGAACAAUGAUGAUAACAAUGGAGGUGUGAAUAGCCUUUGUGCACUUAUUUCAAAAAAUAGCCUUUGUGCAACGUAAUGUAUUCCCUAGUUCUAAUCAAUUUAUUUAUUGAUUAUGUAAUAACUUGCAGAUACUGAACACAUGCAGAUUGACAAAAAGUGCAUACCUGGCAAAUAUUGUGUACUUGCACAACUAAAAUACCUUUAGAGUAUUUAUGACAGUAUGGUACAUUUCCGUUUUGUUAGUACCUUUUGCUGUUGUCAUAUAGAUGCAGAUUAUAUUAGGUCUGCACUCCCAUUUUUGUCACUGUUUGUUGACUUGUGGUUGUUUCUAGAUUGACAGUACGGUGCGAACUUUUAAAAUCUACUGUCAAAUUUAUCGA